UACGAAGGGGGCUAGCGUUGCUCGGAUUGACUGGGCGUAAAGGGCGCGUAGGCGGUUCGUACAGUCAGACGUGAAAUUCCUGGGCUCAACCUGGGGGCUGCGUUUGAUACGUGCGGACUUGAGUGAAGUCGAGGUUGGCGGAAUUGACGGUGUAGCGGUGAAAUGCUUAGAUAUCGUCAAGAACACCGAUAGUGAAGACAGCUAACUAGACUUAUACUGACGCUGAGGCACGAAAGUGUGGGGAUCAAACAGG
rnacentral:rRNA from 1 species